rnacentral:tRNA from 1 species
GGGAAGAUAGCUCCAAUUGGUAGAGCAGGGGACUCCAAAUCCUCAGGUUCCAGGUUCGAGUCCUGGUCGUCCCGC